UACGAGGGGUGCAAGCGUUGCUCGGAAUUAUUGGGCGUAAAGGGUAGGUAGGUGGUUUCGUUUGUCUGGGGUGAAAGCCUUGAGCUUAACUCAAGAAGUGCCCCGGAAACGGCGAAACUCGAGUACUGGAGAGGGUCGUGGAAUUCCCGGUGUAGCGGUGAAAUGCGUAGAUAUCAGGAGGAACACCGAUGGCGAAGGCAGGUCUCUGGGCAUUAACUGACGCUGAGGAGCGAAAGCAUGGGGAGCGAACAGG
rnacentral:rRNA from 1 species